GACGAACGCUGGCGGCGUGCUUAACACAUGCAAGUCGAACGGAAAGGCCCUGCUUUUGUGGGGUGCCCGAGUGGCGAACGGGUGAGUAACACGUGAGUAACCUGCCCUUGACUUUGGGAUAACUUCAGGAAACUGGGGCUAAUACCGGAUAGGAGCUCCUGCUGCAUGGUGGGGGUUGGAAAGUUUCGGCGGUUGGGGAUAGACGCGGGGGUUAUCAGCUUGUUGGUGGGGUAGCGGCAUACCCAGGCUUUGACGGGUAGUCGGCACGGGAGGGUGAACAGCCACAUUAGGACUAAGAUACGGACCAGACGCCUACAGGAGGCAGCAGGGGGGAAUAUUGCACAAUGGGCGGAAGCCUGAUGCAGCGACGCCGCGUGCGGGAUGACGGCCUUCGUGUUGUAAACCGCUUUCGCCUGUGACGAAGCGUGAGUGACGGUAAUGAGUAAAGAAGCACCGGCUAACUACGUG
rnacentral:rRNA from 1 species